UACGUAGGGACCAAGCGUUGUUCGGAUUUACUGGGCGUAAAGGGCGCGUAGGCGGCGUGUUAAGUCACUUGUGAAAUCUCUAAGCUUAACUUAGAACGGUCAAGUGAUACUGACGUGCUAGAGUGCAGAAGGGGCAACUGGAAUUCUCGGUGUAGCGGUGAAAUGCGUAGAUAUCGAGAGGAACACCUGCGGCGAAGGCGGGUUGCUGGGCUGACACUGACGCUGAGGCGCGAAAGCUAGGGGAGCGAACGGG
rnacentral:rRNA from 1 species